UACGUAGGGUGCGAGCGUUGUCCGGAAUUAUUGGGCGUAAAGAGCGCGUAGGCGGUCUGUCACGUCGGCUGUGAAAACCCGAGGCUCAACCUCGGGACUGCAGUCGAUACGGGCAAACUAGAGUAUUGCAGGGGAGACUGGAAUUCCUGGUGUAGCGGUGAAAUGCGCAGAUAUCAGGAGGAACACCGGUGGCGAAGGCGGCUCUCUGGGCAAUAACUGACGCUGAGGAGCGAAAGCGUGGGGAGCGAACAGG
rnacentral:rRNA from 1 species